AUUGAACGCUGGCGGCAUGCUUUACACAUGCAAGUCGAACGGCAGCGUGGGCUUCGGCCUGGCGGCGAGUGGCGAACGGGUGAGUAAUGCAUCGGAACGUGCCCAGUAGUGGGGGAUAGCCCGGCGAAAGCCGGAUUAAUACCGCAUACGACCUGAGGGUGAAAGCGGGGGACCGAAAGGCCUCGCGCUAUUGGAGCGGCCGAUGUCGGAUUAGCUAGUUGGUGGGGUAAAGGCUUACCAAGGCGACGAUCCGUAGCUGGUCUGAGAGGACGACCAGCCACACUGGGACUGAGACACGGCCCAGACUCCUACGGGAGGCAGCAGUGGGGAAUUGUGGACAAUGGGGGCAACCCUGAUCCAGCCAUGCCGCGUGCGGGAAGAAGGCCUUCGGGUUGUAAACCGCUUUUGUUCGGGAAGAAAUCCUCUGGGCUAAUACCCCGGGGGGAUGACGGUACCGGAAGAAUAAGCACCGGCUAACUACGUG
rnacentral:rRNA from 1 species